rnacentral:rRNA from 1 species
UACGGAGGAUGCAAGCGUUAUCCGGAAUUAUUGGGCGUAAAGCGUCCGUAGGUGGCUGGUCAAGUCUGCUGUCAAAGCGUGGAGCUCAACUCCAUAUCGGCGGUGGAAACUGACGAGCUAGAGUGCGAUAGGGGGUAGCAGGAAUUCCCAGUGUAGCGGUGAAAUGCGUAGAUAUCGGGAGGAACACCAGUGGCGAAGGCGACUACCUGGCCUGUUCCUUGACGCUGAGGCGCGAAAGCUAGGGGAGCAAACGGG